rnacentral:rRNA from 1 species
UGCUUCCUACGGGGGGCAGCAGUAGGGAAUCUUCGGCAAUGGACGAAAGUCUGACCGAGCAACGCCGCGUGAGUGAAGAAGGUUUUCGGAUCGUAAAACUCUGUUGGUAGAGAAGAACGUUGGUGAGAGUGGAAAGCUCAUCAAGUGACGGUAACUACCCAGAAAGGGACGGCUAACUACGUGCCAGCAGCCGCGGUAAUACGUAGGUCCCGAGCGUUGUCCGGAUUUAUUGGGCGUAAAGCGAGUGCAGGCGGUUCAAUAAGUCUGAUGUGUAA